rnacentral:rRNA from 1 species
GACGAACGCUGGCGGCGUGCUUAACACAUGCAAGUCGUACGGUAAGGCCCUUUCGGGGGUCCACGAGUGGCGCACGGGUGAGUAACACGUGAGUAACCUGCCCACAACUUUGGGAUAACGCUAGGAAACUGGUGCUAAUACUGGAUAUGUGCUCCUGCUGCAUGGUGGGGGUUGGAAAGCUCCGGCGGUUGUGGAUGGACUCGCGGCCUAUCAGCUUGUUGGUGGGGUAGUGGCCUACCAAGGCGGCGACGGGUAGCCGGCCUGAGAGGGUGACCGGCCACAUUGGGACUGAGAUACGGCCCAGACUCCUACGGGAGGCAGCAGUGGGGAAUAUUGCACAAUGGGCGCAAGCCUGAUGCAGCAACGCCGCGUGCGGGAGGACGGCCUUCGGGUUGUAAACCGCUUUCAGCAGGGACGAAGCUUUUUGUGACGGUACCUGCAGAAGAAGCACCGGCUAACUACGUG